rnacentral:rRNA from 1 species
UGGGGAAUUUUGGACAAUGGGGGCAACCCUGAUCCAGCAAUGCCGCGUGAGUGAAGAAGGCCUUCGGGUUGUAAAGCUCUUUUGUCAGGGAAGAAACGGUGAGGGCUAAUAUCCUUUGCUAAUGACGGUACCUGAAGAAUAAGCACCGGCUAACUACGUGCCAGCAGCCGCGGUAAUACGUAGGGUGCAAGCGUUAAUCGGAAUUACUGGGCGUAAAGCGUGCGCAGGCGGUUAUACAAGACAGAUGUGAAAUCCCCGGGCUCAACCUGGGAAUUGCAUUUGUGACUGGAUGGCUAGAGUGUGUCAAGGGGGGGUAGAAUUCCACGUGUAGCAGUGAAAUUCGGAGGUGUGUUAACGGAUACCGAUGUCGGAGGCAGCCCCCUGGGAUAACACUGACGUUCAUGCACGAGGGCGUGGGGAACAA